GAAUUAGAUACGCCACUGGCUGAAUCAUGCCUUAUGAAACAUAAUUACAUACAGCCCAAACCUAAUGUGAUUUGCAUUUUCUGAUCUUUUCCUUAGACACAGUCAUUGAAAUUAAUGAGGAGGAACCUAGUAGUCUUAGUGAAGUAAACCUUAUGCAUUAUUAAGAAUCUCUCAUCCCUGUUUAUUGAGGAGCCAUUGGCAGACUGAUAUUGUAGAAAAUAAAGAGAGGCUUCAGCCCGUUGGAGAGGGAGUAUAGGAAAUCAGCUCUCUCUUUUAAUGCUGCUUUGUGGAAGUGUUUGGGAGAAAAAAAAAUAACAGAUACUUGACUGUUAUAACUUACUAACUAUAGUAAAGAUAGUUACUUCUAGGGAGAAGAACUUAGGUGGUUUCCACUGGAUUAAAAAACAACCUUAUUUCUCUGCUUUCCUCCAAAUCCCCACAUAACAACAAAAACCUAACUUGUGAAAGAUCUUAAGCUCUUACUGUUUUUAAGUAGAACUUGGAUUUUCAGAUAUUUUUUAAGUUCGUAAAGCUGUUUCUUCUGACAAUAAUAGAGAUAAAUAGAGCAUUCAUACUCAAAUCCUUGUUGGUUUGGAAUUUCAAGCAAGGAUGUGAAGACAGAAGCACUCUACGAGCACUGGAAGUAUCUGGGAUACUUGUGCCUGCUUAUCGUUUUUGUUUUUUUAGGUUUCUUUCAAAAUGAAGAUUCACGCAGUGAUUGUAACUGUCUUGAUGAGCCAGGUUGUAGUUUACAAAGUUUUAUUCCAGAAGGAAAAAAGCCACUUCACCUAGAAAUUUUGCAAACAAAUCAACUUUUACUCUGUGAGUAAUCCAGGGCCUAUCAAGACUACAUUUUAGUUGACUGCAAGGCCUCUGAGGCACGGGAAUUCACAGCUGAGUUCUUGGAGAAGGUCCUUGAGCCAUCUGGAUGGCGGACAGUCUGGCACAUGAUGUGCUCAAGGUGCUGCUUGAGGCCACAGAUGUGGACAUUUCAGCCUUGAAGGCAGUGGUGCAGCUUGCUGAGCCAUACCUCUGUGAAUCUUGAGCGAGUACUUUCACCUUGGAGUGUGUGAAAGAGCUCCUCGAGCUGAAGGAACAUCAGUUGCCCCUGAAGGAGCUGGGUGGUGUUUGAUGAUUCUGGAGACAGCACUUGUAACUUGUAACUGAGCAUGUCAGCUAGGAAGGAGGUAUCUGGUCAGAGAAGGUGUUUUCUGAGGCUGCUUCCUGGAUCCCUAGGGUUUGUGUUCCUGCCAUUCAGCCUAUUUGGCAGUUAUUUCCACCUGUACAAACAGACCCUUUGUCCCUUACAUGAGAAAGAAAGCCCACACCUGGAUUCAUAUUAAUAGGGUGCUGGCAUAGAAAUAUAUCCUGGGAGUAAGUUUGGGUUCCCUGCGUGAGAAUGGACCCGCUGUUGCAAGGAAGGGCUCCUCAUUAAGCUGAGCAUUGGCCGAGACACUUGCUUUCUAAAGGAUAGCCACUGAGCAAGCCUGUAAGGCUAUUGGUCUGCCCAUUCUGGUUUCUUCACCAAUGAGAAAACUGGGACCUGGGGAGUUUGCAGAAGCCAUCCAAGGGCACCUGCUUCUCACAGCACAGCAGCUUCCUGCAGCCCUCCCUCCUGUCUUGUUUCUCCCUUAAUUGAGAGGAGAGGCCAGAACCAGAUGCAGGCAGUUCCAACAGUAAUGAAUUGCUCUAAGGUGUGGAUCCAAGAACCGGUGACAAGGUCAGGAAAUUCCAUCCCGGGACACUGACCCAACUAAGAGACUGUGCAUGAUGGCUAAGUUCAGAGCUCUGAGGAGAUGGUAAAACUCAUUUGCAACGAAACAAGAUAUUUUCCAACUCUGCAGCCAGGUGCAGAAAGCUGGAAGUGAUGCUCCAGGGAGUUUAUGUCUCCCCAUCUUGACCCACACCAAUACCUGAGGCUCGUUGCUUUGAUUCAAGUCCGGACAAGCUCUAAGGUUCAGCUCACACUGGGAGUCACGCUGCAGGAGCUCCUGGGAGUCUGUGAACGGUGGUGAUGCAGAAAAGCAAAGCGUGUAUAUCUGUUUUAGUCCUCCCUCAGAUCUGCUGAGGACACCUUGAGCCUGAAGUGAAAUCACAGUGGCUCUCAGGAAGAAGGGUGACUGUCUGGUGUGCAGUUGUGCUGCCACGGCAAAGGGAACUUUAAAACAUAGAACUGCCAUGUAGAAGCUCAGGAAAUAUCCAUGAAUCAAAAAAAAUGGAAGACGAGAAAAGGCAGUGAAGACUGACAGCCUGUUGGUUGCUAUUCCAGUCGUGUCUGCUCCAUACGCGCCCUCCAUCUCAUCCCACCCAGUCAGUAUAUUUUCACCAGGCAGUGUUGCAGAAAUGUCUGUGGACUCCAGUUCUAUUGCAGUCAGGCAGCAUUUACAGGUUUGACUUUCAACUGACCAUGGCAGGAAGUCUAGAGGCAAUUAUAGCCAACACCUGCUCUAUGUGCGUGCCGGGCAGGUGGUGGCUGAUUCCUUGCCUCCAAUCCAUGAUGUGUUUCCUAUCAGCUCAGAAUAAUAACAGUGACACCUCUGCUUCUUCUCUGUCUGGGGGAGCUCAAGGCACUUUACUCUGAAAACCCUCAAAUUACUGGCAUUUCUUUUAGUGAAGAUAUCAAAUUAAUGACUGAAAAAAAUGUAGAAGAUGGUUAUUGGUGAUGUUAAAAGACAAGUUUAACCCACUUCCACACAACAUGUCUUACAAGCGUAAAGUAUUUGAGUAGAGAAAACUAUGAAUCUAAAAUUGAACAAGAUGUGAAUUUAGACAGACAGCGUUUGUGGUCACAGAUGUGCCGAGAUGAAGACUGGAGGAAGGGCACAGUUUCUGUAGCAGUGACUUCCACCCAGGGUGUGUCUUGCUAUUGUGUGAAAUGAUUUUUGACACUGGACAAAUCUCUACUUCCACUUACAAUGUUUUGCCAGCUAGCUGAGGCAUUCUGGGAGGGUGAGGAGCCUGGGCUUGGGCUGACCUCAGGAAAUCCUGUGUAAAGGGCUUUUGCACACUCAGAAGCAGGCCAGGUUCACCGCUGUUAUGUGCAAUAUUCACUCCUGGCUCUUGCUUCUGAGCCUUGGCAAACCUGAGUCCUAAGAGGCCAAUGAAAAGGAAAACACGUUAAGGAGCCAGGGCGCUUCUUGGAUAUCAGCCUGAAUAGUUCUGUUUCAUCUGGACCCCAAUUUUACUCUCCUGCUGUUUUACACGGAACUAAAAAGAGCUUUACAGAGGACCAGAUAGACUGCAGGUCCCUAGGCAGUCAGGGGCCAGGCAAGGCAUAGGAGGGUGUCAGGCCUCUGAGCUCAAACUAGGCCAUCAUAUCCCCUGUGACCUGCACGUACACAUCCAGAUGGCUGGUUCCUGCCUUAACUGAUGGCAUUGUCUUGUGAAAUUCCUUCUCCUGGCUCAUCCUGGCUCAAGAGCUCCCCUACUGAGCACGUUGUGACCCCCACUCCUGCCUGCCAGAGAACAACCCCCCUUUGACUGUAAUUUUCCUUUACCUACCCAAAUCCUAUAAAAUGGCCCCACCCCUAUCUCCCUUCACUAACUCUCUUUUCGGACUCAGCCUGCCUGCACCCAGGUGAAAUAAACAGCCUUGUUGCUCACACAAAGCCUGUUUGGUGGUCUCUUCACAGGGACUCGCAUGAAAUUUGGUGCUGUGGCUCGGAUAGGGGGACCUCCCUCGGGAGAUCAAUCCCCUGUCCUCCUGCUCUUUGCUCCAUGAGAAAGAUCCACCUACGACCUCAGGUCCUCAGACCAAGCAGCCCAAGAAACAUCUCACCAAUUUCAAAUCUGGAAAGCAGCCUCUUUUUACUCUCUUCUCCAACCUCCCUCAAUAUCCCUCAACCUCUUUCUCUUUUCAAUCUUGGUGCCACACUUCAAUCUCUCCCUUCUCUUAAUUUCAAUUCGUUUCAUUUUCUGGUAGAGACAAAGGAGACACGUUUUAUCUGUGGACCCAAAACUCCGGCGCCGGUCACGGCCUGGGAAGGCAGCCUUCCCUUGGUGUUAAUCAUUGCAGGGAUGCCUCUCUGAUUAUUCACCCACGUUUCAGAGGUGUCGGACCACACAGGGACGCCUGCCUUGGUCCUUCACCCUUAGUGGCAAGUCCUGCUUUUCUGGGGGAGGGGCAAGAACCCCAACCCCUUCUCUCCAUGUCUCUACCUCUUCUCUGCUUUUCUGGGGGAGGGGCAAGAACCCCUCAACCCCUUCUCCUUCACCCUUAAUGGCAAGUCCCACUUUUCUGGGGGAGGGGCAAGAACCCCUCAACAUCUUGUCCUUCACUGUUAGCAGCAAGUCUCACUUUUCUGGGGGAGGGGCAAGAACCCCUCAAACCCUUGUCCUUCACCGUCAGCAGCAAGUCCCGCUUUUCUGGGAGAGGGGCAAGAACCUCUCAACCCCUUCUCCUUCACCCUUAGAGGCAAGUCCCGCUUUUCUGGGGGAGAGGCAAGAACCCCUUAUUUCCACAGCCCGACCUCUUAUCUCUGUGCCCUGAUCCCUUAUUUCUGUGCCCUGACCUCUUAUCUCUGCACCCCAACCCCUUAUUUCUGCACCCCCACCUCUUUCCCACUUUUCUGGAGGGUAAGAACCCCCGAACCCCUUCCCUCCAUGUCUCUACUCUCUCUUUUCUCUAGCCUUGCUUCCUUCACUAUGGGCAACCUUCCACCCUCCAUUCCUCCUUCUUCUCCCUUAGCCUGUGUUCUCAAGAACUUAAAACCUCUUCAACUCACACCUGACCUAAAACCUAAAUGCCUUAUUUUCUUCUGCAAUGCCGCUUGAUCCCAAUACAAACUUGGCAGUAGUUCCGAAUAGCCGGAAAACAGCACUUUCAAUUUUUCCAUCCUACAAGAUCUAAAUAAUUCUUGUCGUAAAAUAGGCAAACAGUCUGAGGUGCUGACGUCCAGGCAUUCUUUUACACAUUGGUCCCUCCCUAGUCUCUGUUCCCAAUGCAACUCGUCCCAAAUCUUCCUUCUUUCCCUCCCACCUGUCCCCUCAGUCCCAACCCCAAGUGUCGCUGAGUCUUUCUAAUCUUCCUUUUCUACAGACCCAUCUGACCUCUCCCCUCCUCUCCAGGCUGAGCUAGGUCCCAAUUCCUCCUCAGCUUCCGCUCCUCCACCCUGUAAUCCUUUUAUCACCUCGCCUCCUCACACCCAGUCCGGCUUACAGUUUCGUUCCUUGACUAGCCCUCCCCCACCUGCCCAGCAAUUUACUCUUAAAAAGGUGGAUGGAGCUAAAAGCAUAGUCAAGGUUAAUGCUCCUUUUUCUUUAUCCCAAAUCAGACAGCGUUUAGGCUCUUUUUCAUCAAAUAUAAAAAUCCAGCCCAGUUCAUGGCUCGUUUGGCAGCAACCCUGAAAUGCUUUACAGCCCUAGACCCUAAAAGGUCAAAAGGCCAUCUUAUUCUCAAUAUACAUUUUAUUACCCAAUCUGCUCCCGACAUUAAAUAAAACUUCAAAGAUUAAAUUCCAGCCCUCAAACCCCACAACAGGAUUUAAUUAACCUUGCCUUCAAGGUGUACAAUAAUAGAGUAGAGGCAGCCAAGUAGUAACAUAUUUCUGAGUUGCAAUUCCUUGUCUCCACCAUGAGACAAACCCCAGCCACAUCUCCAGCACACAAGAAUUUCCAAAUGCCUAAACCGCAGUGGCCAGGCAUUCCUCCAGCACCACCUCCCCCAGAAGCUUGCUACAAGUGCCAGAAAUCUGGCCACCAGGCCAAGGAAUGCCCGCAGCCCGGGAUUCCUCCUAAGCCAUGUCCCAUCUGUGGGGGACCCCACUGGAAAUCGGACUGUUCAACUCACCUGGCAGCCACUCCCAGAGCCCCUGGAACUCUGGCCCAAGGCUGUCUGACUGACUUCUUCCCAGAUCUUCUCGGCUUAGUGGCUGAAGACUGACAUGCCCGAUCGCCUCAGAAGCCCGAUAGACCAUCAUGGAUGCCGAGCUUUAGGUAACUCUCACAGUGGAGGGGAGAAACGCGAAUGGAUGCGAGGUGGUGCAAAAUCCACAAAGGAGCUCCAGGGGACGUGGCAGGAUCCCUCUGCUAUGACUGUGCUGCAUAAGAGUCUGAGCCCACGCCAACCUAGAGUGAUUCUAAAGACCAUUUCCACAUGGAGAAGCUGCCAGAACAAGCACUGCUACCCUUGGAGGCCAUUGACAUUGUGAGGUCGCUGGGACUGAAAGGAGGUUGACCAGAAGUUCUGUUUGGCAAUGCAAAGCCAGGAGGAAAAGUUAAUGGAGUUUGUCCCCCGGGUCCCAAGAAAGCUGACCCAGGACGAUGAAGCUAGAAUUUGUGUUCUAGGAGGUGCUGCUUCUUCCAGGAAAGUCUACUCAAAGCACACACUGUGAGCUGCUGCAUGUCUCUUGAGCUAGUUCACUGCAGUUUUCAUGAUGAAAGUGAUCUGUUUCAGUAAACUUUCUGUUAUUUGAGAGCAUGGGAAAAAUAUUUGCUGUGAUUUCCCAAUUCCCCAUUUUUUCUGAUUCUUUGUUGCAGUUUCCACAACUUUGUUAUCAGGCUGUGACAGAGGUUUGUGAACUGAUGAAAGCUCCAGAGCCUCCCAGGCCCUCUGAGUCUGAUGCCUGCACUCCACAAUCAGGCCUCAAGCUCAGGGCGCCUGCCACCAACCCACGCUGGGCUUCAGGGGCAGGCAGCACUUGAAUGGGGUUUGGUUAUUGUCUUUCUUUAUUUUCUCUUAUUUUAAGCCUUAAAAAAAAAAAGAUAAGGUCUUGCUCUAUUGCCCAGGCUGGAGAGAAAUGGUGUGAUCAUAGCUCACUGCAGCUUUGAAUUCCUGGGUUCAACCGAUCCUCCCACCUAAGCCUCCCGAGUAACCAGGACUGCAAGUAUGCACCACCACACCCAGUUAAUUAAAUUUGUGUGUGUGUGUGUGUGUAGAGGUGGGUUCUUGCUUUGUUGCCCAGGCUGGUCUUGAACUCUUGAGUUCAGACAAUCCUGCCACCUCAACCUCACAAAGUGCUGGAAUUACAGGCGUGAGCCACUGCACUCAGCCUCCUUAAGCCAUUUGCUUAAGUGGCUUUAUUGCAAAACAAUAUCAGAAUAACAAAGAAAUAUAAGGUCAAACUUUCCCUGUUCCCAUCUAGUCCAAUAAGCAUUGCUGCUCUUGCCAGGGAUUCUCGCCCAUCUCCAUGUGCCAGUGCAAUCCAUACUGGUUGUUCUCCUUGGCUACCCCACAUCUGAGUCUCUGCCUUGUCUGCAUUCUUCCCCACUUUAUGAAGAGAUGAGUCAGUGCCUGAUUUUUUCUGCCUCUCUUGUCACUAGGGCACAGCCAUGUGCAUGGGCCCUGUCACUCAGAAGCCCCCAUCCACCAACAACAUGGCUCUGGGGGCCUCCUCUCUCUGGAAGAAUUGGCAGUUUUAGCAAGAAAGGUUUUCAGAGGCAGCAAUGAUGGUGGAGAUGUCCAGGGCCAGUGGCAGGUCAAACCAUUCUCUGUGUCAUUUGGGGCAGUGUUUAUGCUGUCCCUCAUUUUGGUUCCCUAAGCCUCCGAACAUGUACGUGAAUUUCCGAAUAUUCUCAAUUAAAUUGUUUUUCUGUUGAAAUUGGCCUGGUUGCUUUCAACUAUGACAAACCUAGCUAUAUAAGUAUUAUUUUGUAGUGUUGGGAUUGAUAGAACUUUAUGUUCUACACAUUAGCAGAAUACCAUGUGUAUUUUUCCAUUUGACAUAAUCUUUUAUCUUUCCAUUGAUAAGUAUUAUUACUAUUUAGUGAUAUAUUAUUUGAGUUCUCUUGCCCCUUUUGGGUAGCCCAUGUUAACAGUAAUACCCAGCUGCUACACUGAGAGCCUCUGAGACUUACUGGCUUCAGGGGAGACAGCACAUUAUCAGCUGUGGUGGCCAUGGCCGAGACUCCUUUUGCCUGAGAAAAGCAGAGGAAAAUGUAGAAGGGACUUCGUCUUGCAUCUGAGACACCAGCACAGCCACAGGGUGGUAGAGCACCAAGGGGGCUUUUGGAAUCUUUGAUUCUGGGAUGUGGCUCUUGGAAGGCAUUUCUGGACUUGCCCUGGGCCAGGGGGAGCCCACUGUCUUAAAGGGUGAGUCCCAGGCCAGGCAGCAUUUGCCACAGUCGACUGAAGAGCCCUGGGGGCCUUCAAGGGACAUAGAAGGUAAUCUGAAAGUACUCCGCAUAGGCCUGUGGGGUGGUGGCCAUGGGGCAAGGCUGCCCUGCCUCUGGAAAGGGUAGGAGAGAGUGAGAAAGACUGCAUCCUGUUGUCCGAGUGCCAGCUCAGCCACAGUACAAUAGAACACCAGCUAGGCUCCCAGCCAGCACCUCUGGACCAGCCUGGAAACUGGGGGUAACUCAUCGCCCUGAAGGGAAGGACAAAGGCCUGGCUGGCUUUGCCGUCUGCUGAUUGUUGAGCCCUAGGCGGGGAGCGGUUACAGUCGGCCUUGGGUGAGACUCAGAGCUGCACUGGCUUCAGGUCUGACUCAGCACAGUCACAGUGAUGGUGGCCACAGGGGUGCUUAUGUCACUCUAUCCCAGCUUUAGGUGGCUCAGAACAGACACACUCCAUUUCUUUGGGAGAAAGUAAGAAAGAGAACAAGAGUCUCUCUGAUAAUCCAGAGAGUUCUCCCAGAUCUUGUCCAAGAUCAUCAAGGCAAUACCACUGAGUCUGCAAAAACUGCAGUGUUACUGGGCUUGGGGUGCCCCCUAAAACAGAUACAACUUAGAUCACAACACCCAUGGCCUUUUAAAUAUGUGAAAAGCCUUCCCAAGAAGGACGGGUACAAACAAGCCCAGAUAGCAAAGGCUACAAUAAAUACCUAACUCUUCAAUUCCAGACACAAAUGGACACCUACAAGUAUCAAGACAUUCCAGGAAAAAAAUGACCUCACCAAAUGAACUAAAUAAAGCAUCAGGGACCCAUCCUGAAGAAACAGAUACGUGACCUUUUAGACAGAGAAUACAAAAUAGCCACUCUGAGGAAACUCAAAGAAAUUCAAGAUAACACAGAGAAGGAAUUCAGAAUUCUAUCAGAUAAAUUUAACAAAGAGAUUGAAAUCAUUCAAAAUGAUCAAACAGAUACUGUGGAGAUAAAAAAUGGAAUUGGCAUACUAAAGAAUGCAUCAGAGUCUUAAUAAUAGAAUUAAUCAAGUAGAAGAAAGAAUUAGCUUGAAGACAGGCUAUUUCAAAAUACACAGUUAGAGGACUCAAAAGAAAAUAGAAUAAAAAAUAAUGAAGCAUGUCAAAGAAUCUAGAAAAUAGCCUCAAAAGGACAAAUCUAAGAGUUAUUGGCCUUAAAGGGGAGACAAAGAAAGAGAUAAGGGUAGAAUGUUUAUUCAAAGGGAUAAUAACAGAGACUUUUCGAAACCCGGAUAAUAAUAUCAAUAUCCAAGUACAAGAAAACAGAACACCAAGCAGAUUAAAUCCAAAGAAGACUGCCUCAAGGCAUUUAAUAAUCAAAUUCUAAAGAUCAAGGGUAAAGAAAGGAUCCUAAAAGUAACAAGGGAGAAGAAACAGAUAACAUACAAUGGAUCUCCAGUAUGUCUUGCAGUGGACUUUUCAGUGGAAACCUUAAAGUCCAGGAGAGAGUGGCACAACACAUUUAAAGUGCUGAAAGAAAGAAACUUUUACCCUAGAAUAGUAUAUCCAGCAAAAAUAUUCUUCUAACAUGAAGAAAAAAUAAAGACUUUCCCAGGCAAACAAAAGCUGAGGGAUUUUAUCAGCACUAGACCUGUCUUAUGAGAAAUGCCAAAGGGAGUACUUCAAUCAGAAAGAAAAGGAUGUUAGUAAGUAAUCAUGCGAAAGUACAAAAUUCAUGGGUAAUAGUAAGCACACAGAAAAACACAGAAUUUUAUAUCCCUGUAACUGUGAUGUGUAAACUACUAUUAUUCUAAGUAGAAAAACUAAAUGAUGAACCAAUCAAAAAUAAUAACUAUAACAAUUUUUCAAGCCAUAGACAGUACUAUAAGAUAUAAAUAGAAACAACAAAAAGUUUAAAAUCAGGACAAAGUUAAGACGUAGAGUUUUUAUUAGUUUCCUUUUUUUUUGCUUCUUUGUUUCUUUGUUUAUGCAAACAAUGUUAAGUUGUUAUCAGCUUAAAGUAACAGGUCAUAAAGAAGCCAGUCAUGGUGUCUCACACUUGUAAUGCCAGCACUUUGAGAGUCCAAGGUGGGUGGAUCACUUGAGGUCAGAAGUUUGAGACCAGCCUGGCCAAUAUGGCGAAACCCCAUCGCUACUAAAAAUACAAAAAUUAGCCAGGUAUGGUGGCACAUGCCUGUAAUCCCAGCUACUCAGGAGGCUGAGGCAUGAGAACCCAGAAUGUGGAGGUUGAAGUAAGCCAAGAUCACACCACUGUACUCCAGCUUGGAUGACAGAGCAAGACUCUGUUUCAGAAGGAAAAAAAAAAGUCAUAAGAUAGUAUUUGCAAGCCUCAUAGUGACCUCAAACCAUAAAAACAUACAAUGAAUACACAAAAAGUAAAAAGCUAGAAACUAAAUCAUAUUACUAGAGAAAAAUCACUUUCACUAAAGGAAGGAAAGAAAGAAGGCAGAGAACAUCACAGAACAACUAGAAAACAAGUUAACACAAUGGCGGGAGUAAGUUCUUACUUAUCAAUAUUAACAUUGAUUGUAAAUAAGAACACCAAUAAAAUGAAAGAUUACAUCAAGUUAAAAAGUUAAAAAGCUUCUGCACAGCAAAGGAAACAGUCAAUAAAGUGGUAACCCCGCAGAGUGGGCAAAAAAUAUUUGCAAACUACCCAUGUGACAAGGGAUUAAUAACCAGAAUAUAUAAGGAGCUCAAACAACUCUAGAGAAAAACAAAUCUAAUAAUCUGAUCAAAAAAUAGGCAAGAUAUUUGAAUAGACAUUUCUCAAAAAAGACAUACAAAUGGCAAACAGUCAUAUGAAAAGGUGCUCAACAUCAUUGAUCAUCAGAACAAUGCAAAUAAAAACUACAAUGAAAUGUCAUCUCAUCCCUGUUAAAAUCGAUUGUAUCCAAAAGACAGGCAAAAACAAAUGCUGGUGAAAUGUGGAGAAAAGGGAACCCUCAUACACUGUUGGUGGGAAUGUAAGUUAGCCCAACCACUAUGAAUAGUGGUUUGAAGGUUCCUCAAAAAGCUAAAUAUGGAGCUACCAUAUGGUUCAGCCAUCCCACUGCUGGGUAUAGACCCAAAAGAAAGGAAAUCAGUAUAUUGAAGAGAUGUCUGCACUCCCGUGUUUGUUUCAGCACUGUUCACAGUAGCAAAGAUUUUGAAACAACCCAAGUGUCCCUCAAUAGAUGAAUAGAUAAACGAAAUGUGGUGCUUUUACACAAUGGAGUACUGUUCAGCCAUAAAAAUGAAUGAGAUCCUGUUCUUUACAACAACAUGGGUGGAAAUGAAGAUCAUUAUAUUAAGUGAUAUAAGCCAGACACAGAAAGACAAACAUUACAUCUUCUCAUGUACUUAUGGGAUCUGAAGAUCAAAAUAAUUGAACUCCAUGGACAUAGAGAGUAGAAGAAUGGUUACCAUAGGCUGGGAUUAGUAGUGGGACAGGUGGGGCAGGGGGCAGGUUAGGACAGGUAAUAGGUACAAAAAUAAUAGGAAGAAUGAAUAAGACCUACUAUUUGUUAGCAUAAAAUGGUACUUGUAAUCAAUUACACUUAAUUAUAUGUUUUAAAAUAACUCAAAGAGUAUAAUUGGAUUCUUUGUAACACAAAGAAUAAAUGUUUGAGGAGAUGGAUACCCUAUUCAGCAUGAUGUGUUAUUAUGCAUUGCAGGCCUGUAUCAAAGCAUUUCAAGUACGCUAUAGAUAUAUACACCUACUAUGUACUCACAAAAAUUAACAAAUUAAAAAAUUAAAGAAAACAGAGUGAGAAUGGGAUGGUGAGCAGGUGGUAUAAGGUAUAUGAUAUUGGUGUUCAGACUGUUAUCCAAAACCCUAAGAAUAGGCCAGGUGCGGUGGCUCACACCUGUAAUCCCAGCACUUUGCGAGGCUGAGGCGGGUAGAUCAUGUGGUGAGGAGUUCAAGACCAGCCUGGCCAAGAUGGUAAAACCCUGUCUCUAGUAAAAAUACAAAAAUUAGCCAGGCAUGGUGGUGGGCGCCUGUAAUCCCAGCUACUUAGGAGGCUGAGGCAGAGAAUUGCUUGAACCCAGGAGGCAGAGGUUGCAGUGAGCUGAGAUCAUGCCACUGCACUCCAGCCUGGGCAACAGAGCGAGACUCUGUCUCAAAAAAAAAAGGCAAAAAAAACAAAA
rnacentral:lncRNA from 1 species